rnacentral:lncRNA from 1 species
CCACGGCGGAUGGCUGGGUCGAGAGCACAUCUUUAUUUUCUCUCUAGAUCAUUCUUCUUCCUAUUUUGAUUUGAGAAAGGGAACGUGAGAAUUAGGUCAACCAGAGUGUUUUCCCAGUAAGUGUUGAGGCAGGCGUUUGCAAGGAGCAGUAUUGGAAGCGUUUCCGGAGUUUUCCAGUGUGUUCGGGUUUCACCUGCAUGUCAGGGUUCGUCACCGUCACAGGAACCCUGGGUCAUUUUGCCAACUCAGUAGAACGGGGCUAAAAUGUAAGAGAAGUAACUUUUAUUUUGAGAACAUGCUCAAAAGUCUAACAAAAUGCACACAGGGGAUACAGAAAAUAGAAUGUGGCAAGGUGGGAGUCUGUGGAGGGAGUGGUGAGUAAAUUGUAAUCCGUCUUGGAGACCGUUUCCAAGUUUACACUACGUGAAGCGGACGGGGUUUGUGAUGCACACAGGGCACAGCCCCCAAGCCCGGGUUCUCCAUCGCUUAGUGGGAAUGCAGCCUCUGUGUGGUUUCAAGAAUGGACAUCUGAGUUCUGGCCUGUGUCCAUUUCAACAUAUUCACUGUUUGAAAGUGAAUAUUCAGUUUGACUCGUUUAAUUUCAGAAGCACUGAGAACUGAACUUAGAACAGAAGAGCACUCUAAAUAGAGAGAAGAGAGGAGAUUGUUGAGGCAGAUGGAAAGCAUCACAGGAGAAGUGUGUGGCCCUCGCCUGUGGAGGUGAAGCUCCAGCAAGGCUCCAUCUUGAGUUUUUUUAAAUUUUGAGUAGUAAAGUGAUUCACUAGAUGGAUUGCUAAAAGCAGUUCCCAUUUUAUGUUUUCUUUCUUUGGUAUUCCCAAAAUGCAAAAAAAGUAUGUCUUAGGGCCGAUAUCCCCUUUUGAAAUUACAUCGUUAGGAUUUCUGCCAUCUUUGGAACCAGGGUGUUGAAAGGCUCAGGGUGCUCGCCCACAUCAGUGAGGGAGGUGCAGCUGAUGAAGGAAGUGCUGGGUGCAGAAGGGGAUGCUCUGAAAUGGUGGCUUCUGUUUGCAGUUUCAAAGCUCAGAUAUUUCCUGGGAAUAGAAAUUCAUCUCCUGGAAGUAAACGCAAUAGUAAAAUCCAAAUAAGGAGCUGUGGUAUUUGGUGUGACUUAAGAAGUUUUUAAAAUCUGGACUUUGCUCUUGUUAGCUCUGUGCACCUGAGAGACUUUGAACAUCCAUUUUUAAACUGCAGCUUCUCUCUAUAUAAAUGGGCUAUAUGGGAAUUGAACAAUGAGAUCACAUGGACACAGGAAGGGGAAUAUCACACUCUGGGGACUGUGGUGGGGUGGGGGGAAGGGGAAGGGAUAGCACUGGGAGAUAUACCUAAUGCUAGAUGACGAGUUAGUGGGUGCAGUGCACCAGCAUGGCACAUG